rnacentral:tRNA from 1 species
GCCCGGCUAGCUCAGCGGAACGAGCGCCCCGCCCACACCGGGGAGGCCGCCGGUUCGACCCCGGCGCCGGGUA